rnacentral:rRNA from 1 species
UACGUAGGGAGCAAGCGUUGUCCGGAAUCGAUUGGCGUAAAGCGCGCGUAGGCGGCCCUGUAAGUCCGUUGUGAAAGUCAAAGGCUCAACCUUUGAAAGCCGAUGGAUACUGCAGGGCUAGAGUCCGGAAGAGGCGAGUGGAAUUCCUGGUGUAGCGGUGGAAUGCGCAGAUAUCAGGAGGAACACCAAUAGCGAAGGCAGCUCGCUGGGACGGUACUGACGCUAAGGCGCGAAAGCGUGGGGAGCGAACAGG